UUCAAUCAUCUUCUUCAUUUUCUUGUGGGUGCCGAACACACCAUAGAUCAAAACACAAAGCUUUACACUUUCAUUUUCUCUCAAAACUUUCUUCACGAAAAUUGUCGGGAAUAUUGCGUAGAUCGUGUAGGUGUAUUUGCAUGUUGAAUCAAGAUCCAGCGAGUUUUGUCGCGGAAACCGGCGAGCAAAGGUUUUGAUAUUCGACGGGUGAUAUUUUUUUAAUAUUUGGAAUAAGCGAGUACUGCGAGUAGUUUGACGUGUGGAUUUCCAAUUUCUUGUUCCGGAAAUCCCUGACUUGAAUAAAGUGAGAAUGACUUCCCUUUAUGUGUCUAGAGUUGCAGUAGCUAGAAUAAUGAACGGUGAUACCUUAGUAGUCGUUGGACUUAUUUAUGCUUUAUAUUUUAUAACGCUAAACUCUGAUAAUAUGUAAUAUGUGAAUGCUGUGCGAAAGUCCGAGCGACUGCACUUGAAUAAAAUGUGGCGAACGCAUCUGCAUAGUGAAAUGCAGUUAAGUCCAUUAGAGAAAUGGCCUGCAUAGUGAAAUGCAGUUAAGUCCAUUAGAGAAAUGGCCUGCAUAGUGAAAUGCAGUAAUUACCAUAGUAAGAUGGUAUGCACCUGAGAUGCAUGAUAAACCAUAGAGAAAUGGUUUUGAAACUAAAAUGCAAUAAUUAAAGAGAAAAUUAUGUGCA